rnacentral:lncRNA from 1 species
AAAAGAUCUUACAUUUGAGUUGUGUACAGUGAUGAAUAGGUUAAAAAAAAGGUAUACAGAAGCAAACUUCAUUUUGAUAACUUAUUUUAAAAUUAUUUUCUUUUUUUUUUCAUUUUGAGGAACAAACGAUUUUCUUUAAACUAAAGUUGCAGAAAUUGCAUCACAAUAUCUGCUAAAUAUAUUCAUAAUAAUCUAAUCAUAAAAACCACAUAUUCUGGAUGAUGCUAAUACCAUAGAAAACCCACCAUCUUGUUACAUGGAGAAAUUAAACUAUAAAAAGGGAAUGGAAAACCCCGUAGAAAACCCCAAAAGUUCAUUGCGUCGAUCUUUAUCAAAUUCUUGCAUAUUAUUCAACCAUGCAUCGGGGGAGAUUUGGCAACCUGGACGGCUUGAACUCCGCGGCGUUGAAUGGCCAAAGCUUUGAGCUGCUCGAGAUCGCCAGCGGCUACAUGAUCUAGUUUGUUGGUUUGGAGGGGAAGAACAACUGGUUUGUUGGCGGCCUGUGGAGCGGUGCGAGGGUAAAAGAAAUCAGUGGGAAAGAAGUUGUAUUGAAGACCCGCCAUGGAAAAGUAGGGAGCAGAAAGGAGUGUAUUUAAUAACUACUGAGAGAUGUUGGUUUGGUGGACUUUGGCAGAGAGACUAUCACAUGCUCUGGUACCUAAUACUUUGGUUUGGUUUAUAUACUGCCAGGGGCUUUGCUGUUCAUAUG